rnacentral:rRNA from 1 species
GAGUGAACGCUGGCGGUAGGCCUAACACAUGCAAGUCGAACGGCAGCACAGUAAGAGCUUGCUCUUACGGGUGGCGAGUGGCGGACGGGUGAGGAAUACAUCGGAAUCUACUUUUUCGUGGGGGAUAAUGUAGGGAAACUUACGCUAAUACCGCAUACGACCUACGGGUGAAAGCAGGGGAUCUUCGGACCUUGCGCGAUUGAAUGAGCCGAUGUCGGAUUAGCUAGUUGGCGGAGUAAAGGCCCACCAAGGCGACGAUCCGUAGCUGGUCUGAGAGGAUGAUCAGCCACACUGGAACUGAGACACGGUCCAGACUCCUACGGGAGGCGGCAGUGGGGAAUAUUGGACAAUGGGCGCAAGCCUGAUCCAGCCAUACCGCGUGGGUGAAGAAGGCCUUCGGGUUGUAAAGCCCUUUUGUUGGGAAAGAAAAGCAGCAGGUUAAUACCCCGCUGUUCUGACGGUACCCAAAGAAUAAGCACCGGCUAACUUCGUG